rnacentral:rRNA from 1 species
AACGAACGCUGGCGGCAUGCCUAACACAUGCAAGUCGAACGAGAUCUUCGGGUCUAGUGGCGCACGGGUGCGUAACGCGUGGGAAUCUGCCCUUUGGUUCGGAUUAACAGUUGGAAACGACUGCUAACACCGGAUGAUGACGAAAGUCCAAAGAUUUAUCGCCAGAGGAUGAGCCCGCGUAGGAUUAGCUAGUUGGUGUGGUAAAGGCGCACCAAGGCGACGAUCCUUAGCUGGUCUGAGAGGAUGAUCAGCCACACUGGGACUGAGACACGGCCCAGACUCCUACGGGAGGCAGCAGUGGGGAAUAUUGGACAAUGGGCGAAAGCCUGAUCCAGCAAUGCCGCGUGAGUGAUGAAGGCCUUAGGGUUGUAAAGCUCUUUUACCCGGGAUGAUAAUGACAGUACCGGGAGAAUAAGCUCCGGCUAACUCCGUGCCAGCCGCCGCAGUAA